AUGCAAAACUCUGACCCAACACUACUUUGCUUUGCCGCAGCCCGCAGCAGACUCGAACCAAAGCAGAGUACUAGCAAGAAAACCCUCAUCUGCUUCUCCUCCGGCCGGGCAAGGACACCGUCGUCGUCGAGGCGGAAGCUACCAAGGGCACCAAGUGCAGAAGCGCAGCGAUGGCUUCCUCCUCCUCGUCCUCCGUCGUCCUCAUCAGCGACACCGACACGGACAGCAACGACGACGCCGCCGCCCCGGACGCGCUCUCCGGGCCGGCCGCCGAGCGCAUCGCCUCGACCCUGCGCACGCAGGCCGCCGUCGACGCCCUCUGCAGGAAGGGAGUUCCUCGCGCGCCCCGCCGGCGAGCUGCGCGCGUGCAGCACGCCGCCUCCGGGGGCCGUCUGCGUGUACGCCCACGCGCUGGCCGCCGGGGUGCGAUUCCCGCUGCACGCCUUCUUCUGCGACACGCUCAACCACCUGGGCCUCGCGCCGGGCCAGCUCUCGCUGAACGGGUGGCACUUCUUCAAGCUGUACAACAGGAACGGCUGGUGCUACAUCCGCUGCAGGGUCGCCGCCGGAGUGCUCUUCACUGGCCUCAACUAUACCACAUCCGAGAGAGAGUGGAAAGGGGGUUUCUUCUUCCUGACGUCGCCGGGACAAUGGCUGUGCCCCGUGCGUUGGGGCGAGCCGCCGUCCAGGAGAUCGUCCGCAAAUCUGGUGCUGACGAGCAAGCAGAGGCAGCGGGCGGAAAAGCUGCUAGGCGCACGCGGCGCCGCGGUUGAUAUCCGGGCUUACCUCGGCGAGACAAAUCUUGCUGCGGCCUUGUCCGCCAACCUCGCCGGCGCACCUCAGCCUUCUCCCCGUUCUACUGGUGCCGAAGUGAAGAAGACGGCGGCGCCGGCAGCAGGGACGGAGCAGGUGAAAAGCGAGGCGCUCAGCGACACGCCGCCGUUGUCCGCGAAGAAGAGGAAAUGGGAGGAGGCCACUGCAACUGCAACAGACGGGCUUGGCUGCGCCGUCCCGGUGUCCGAUACGCGUACCAUGCCGGGCUUUGACCCGCGGUCACCGCACUCGCCCGUGCCCGACAUACACGACGGCGACACAGCCGACUGGAAGGUCGCACGGAAGGUGCUAGAGUGCAUCGUCACGCCGUCGCGGGAGGACAAGUUCGCGGCGUCGAAGCCCUCCGACGUCGUCGCGUCGAGCUACGUGGCAAUGCUCCAGGUAUUCUUGCAACCAAAUCGUUCGUCCGUCGGUGUAUGUCCGGACCGGACCCCGGAUCACAUUGUUGGUGUGUGCCGUGCGGCGGCAACUAUGGCGUGCGCAGGCCGCGAACUACGUCUCCUUCUCGUCAGGCUACGCGCUGGACCUGGACGAGAAGCUGGUGGCGCGGGAGCGCGACAACGUGGCGCUGUGGGAGCAGCUGGACAAGGAGAAGACGGCGAGGCAGGCCGCGGAGGCGGAGCUAGAGAAGGCAAAGGCCGACCUCGCGGCGGCGAAGCGGGCGCCCGAGGCGGAGCUGGAGAGCGCCAAGACGGCGGCGGUGCAGCAGUUCCUGGCGUCCGAGGAGCACACGCGGCGGCUCGCGGAGCAUGCGCUGGCGGGGUACGAGCGCGGCGCGGAGGAGAUGAAGGGCGUCGUGCUCCGGCACUACCCGCGCCUCGACGCCGCCAAGCUUGUCCUGCCACUUGA
rnacentral:rRNA from 1 species